GAGGGGAGAGGGAGAGGAUGUACAGGAAGGGAGAGAUUAUAUGUGGGGAGGGAAGAGGGAUGGGGAAGAUGGGAGAGGACUUUUGGGGAAGGGAAGAGGAGGGAAUGUGGGAAGACGGAGGGACGAUGGGGAAACAGCCAAGAAGGUAUGGGGAGGAGGGGGCACAGUGGGAGGAGAAAAUGUGGUGAGAGGGGACGAACAUGGAGGAGGAGUGUAAGGGGGUCAGGAGGAGCUUUCCCACCAUAUUCCACAUUCCACCUAGACAGAGGAAACCCCCCAAGGCUCCUCCUCACCUCAUCCCCCACCCCAGGCAUGCUGGGGACCUGGAGUUUUCCAUUCUGUGGUCUGGGCUGGGAGGGCUGGUCUGGAUUAUAUCGCACCCUAUAGUAUCUUCAGUAACUACUGGGCAGGGGGUACAAGGGUGUCUCAGGGAGUCCCCUCAUCCUCACCUGCUUUGGGGACAGAUAGUGCCCGUGAAGUAUGCACCCUCUACCUGGUGCACGUUAGGGCCUCCGGAUGUGGUGGCUAUUGUCAUCGCUACCUGGUGCUUGGGGUGCCAGCCCCCUGUGCCCGCGGCUCUGCAAGGUACCACCCCAGGGUGCUGAUGAGAACUGGGGGUCUAUCCAGCCUCACUCCACGCCCCUGCCCCCACCAUCCCCAUUCCCACCCUGGGAAGCCUUGGGCAGGUAGCUCAACCUCUCUGAGCUCACCUCAUUAUCUGGAAACAGGGAGGGCAGAGUUGUGCUUACCUCUGGGGCCGUUGUGAGGAAGUGAUGAGAGCCUGACACUAAAAGGAAUCACAAACUGUUGAGUGCUUGGCACACUAAGUUUUAUGAAACCAUGGGCUGAACCUGGAGGUAAGACCCAGGAGGUCUUGUUCUAGUCCUGUAUCCAUCCGUUCAGUGCCGGGUGAGCUUAGGCACGUUUCAUUCCAUAGUCCCAGCAGAGCUCUGGAGAAGCUGUUGCUCCUCCUGGUCUCCUGGCUUCCAUCCUUAUCAGCCAGGGUCCUGACAAGGCCCUUCGAGAACCAGCAUGAUCCGCCCCUUCUCACCUUUACCUCCCUGACCCCAUGCCCCCGACUCUCUCCCUCACCCACUCUGCUCCAGGCACACUGAUCUCCCCAUCUUUCCCUAGAGGUCCCACUGCAGGGCCUUUGCACGUGCUGUUCCCUCUGUUCAGAGCAUUCUUCGCACAGCCUGCUCUUUCCACCAUGUCCCCGGUCCCUCUGUCUCUGCUCAGCUGUCACUGCAGAGAAGCUGUCUUUGGCCACUUGGUCUAAAACAGUCAUCUCCUCUUACUGAUUUUUGUUUGUUUGUUUUUUUGAUAGUUUUUUUUUUCUGGCAGUACUUCACAUGUCUUGCUAUCAUACUCAAGAUUCAUUCAUUUGCCUGCUUAAUGUUGGCUGUCGAGGCAGCUGGAUGACCCCCUUGUGGCCUCAGCAGAUUCAGAACAGCAGGAGGCAAAAGGAGUUUUCUGAUCCUCUUGUUUAUUUUUCCAGCUUAUCUGCCAGAGAAGCCAACAAUCCCAAGAAGGCCAUAGAAUGGGUCCAGAGGAUUUUCUCCAAAUUUGGGGAGCUCCAAAGGGCUGUCUGCUAGCAGUGGGGUUCACAGCUGGGCUUGGCCGAUCCUCAGCUUUGUGACCCCAGGCAGACUGCUCCACCUCCCUAAGCUGAGGUUCCUCACUGACAGAAUGGGGAAAAGAGAACCUCAUGGAGUUGAGGUCAGGAACAAACGACCUAGUCCACGGGGCACACCUAUGUGAGUGCCUGUCACACCAUGAGCAUCAGGGAAAGUUAACCGCAAUUAGCGCUUAUACCAGUUCCACUCCUCUCCAUUAUCUGUGAUCAGGCUUGGUCUCAAUUUUCCCAUCUGAAAAAUGGGAAGAACAGUUCCUUCCUCAUGGGGCUGCUUUGAGAACUGAAUUAAAUGAAAAGAGAAUGAAAUCACCCAGCACAGGGUCUGGUAUACAAUAGGUGCUCAAUAACUAUUAGUUCUUCUACUCCCUACCCCUGGCUUCAGUGCAGACCAAUAUCACCUCAAUACAAAUAUCUCUUCCAGAUACUCUCUUCCCUUCUCGACCCAUAGACAAAAUCCUCCCAGGGAAGGAGAGGCAGCUGCUCACACACCAAAGGGAGAUGAAUGGGAGCCUCUGGUUCUUCCUGGAUUUGUUCAGCAGUCGGCAUAUGUUUAGGAAGGUGGCCAGGCCCCCUUCCCAGAGAAUGACCCGCCAUGGGUCUGAGCUGGUCCAGGAAAUCCACCUUUGCUAGUGAUUUGUCCUGAGGCUGACAGGACAUCCAACCCUCUGGCUAUGGCAUCUUGGAGGAACAGGCAGGCCUUGAAAAAUAGCAGAAAUUCAGAAUUCCCCUGCCCCGGGAGGACUGAAAGGACCCUGCUGAGGACAGAGCUGAUAUGGCCUCGGAAUGAAGAUGAGGGAAGACCAUCCCAAGGAAGACCCCUCUAGCCCAUGGCAAAAGGGCUGGAAUACGCAAGAAUUUGAAAAGCAAGUUUUGCUUUCCAUAUAAACCUAAGCAAGUCGCUUAAUCUGUGAGCCUCAACUACUUUACUUGUGCAAUGGGCAUGUUGCUGGUAGUGGUGAUAGCAGGGAACCACCGAGAGAGCUUCCAAGUGUGCCAUCUAAGCCCUCCUCUGGGGAAGGGAAGCUCCUCUGGGGAAGGGAAACUGGACCCCCGGGAAUAUUUAUUCUCCCAGGGACGAACAUCCAGACAUUUCCCUGUAGGAGCCUCAGUGUGCUCAGAUGUUCACUGUCCAGUAGAAACAAGACAUCUAGGCAACUCUCCCAUCUCACCAAGCCUCUGCUCUCUUCCGUGGCCACUGUGGGGUUGUGAGAGUAAUGUCAAGACCCAACCCAAUUAGAACACAGGGAAUUUUGCCUGGGAAAGGGAGCCCUUCUACCCUACACCCCUGCUUUCUCUCUUCCAAGGAUCAGGUCUGAUUCAUGUCUGCAUCCUAAAGGCUACAAAUAAACUGUGUCCGGAAAGGAAAA